ACGUAGUAGUCCACCCUUACUGCUGUAAAGAAACGGUACCUAAUCUAAAACAAGAUUAAACAAAGCAGAACUGUGGCCGGUUGGAGAUGAGGAGGAUGAGGAAUGCCUGC